ACACGUACACGUUUCUCGCGAAUUGUGAUGUUUUAUCGGUAACUCAAAAUGUGUUUGGUAAUAAAUCGGUGGAAUAUAGUGACAAUAGACAUGUUUGAUGUCUUGCAGACAAUUUAUCGCAAGUGGAGUGUUCGUAAUACUCAUAAUGAACAUGGUUUCGCGUGUUUGCAAAAGUGGGUUCAGGUUUCACUGAUUUGUCCAUGCAGCAUAGAGAUUACAGAACGCUGAACUUAUAGGCAGGUCGGGAAUGAAUUAUAGGCCUGGCGGGACUGGAAGAGGCGCCACUCUUGCAUCAUAUUGUAAGUAUUCCUUUCCUUUAUGAUAUUCAUGACUUAGUUAUGAGAUUUUCAUACGGGGAAGCCAUUAAAAUGGCAUUUUUGUGUUUCGAGGCACUUAUUUUUGUUUUUUUAGAGCUCUUGAAAUUAAAUAAGACCUUGCAGGGGAGCUAUCUUUGCAUUAACUUAUGAGUAUUGCAAUUCUUUAUUAUAUUAAUGAGUUACUUUUGAAAUUUUUGCAUACGGGAGCCAUAAAAUGACAUUUUUGUGUUUCGAGGCACUAAUUUUUAUUUGUUUUAGGGCUCCAGAAAUUGAAUGGGACAUCGUAGGGAAGCCAUUCUUGCAUCAAAUUGUGAGUAUUACAAUUCUUUAUUAUAUUAUUGACUUAGUUUUGAGAUUUUUGCAUGCGGGCACCAAAAAAAUUACAUUUUUGUGUUUUGAGGCCCUGAUUAUUGUUUGUUUUAGGGCCUUAGAAAUUGAAUGGGACCUUGUAGGGGCACCAUUUUUGCAUCAAAUUGUGAAUAUUGGAAUUCUUUAUUAUAUUAAUCACUUAGAUUUGAGAUUUUUGCACACGGGAGCCAAAAAAAUUGCACUUUUGUGAUUUGAGGCACUGAUUUUUGUUGUUUUUGGGCUCUAGGUAUGGAAUGGAAGCUUGCAGAGGAGCCAUUCUUGCUUCAAAUUGUGAGUAAUGCAAUUAUUUAUUAUAAUAAUGACGUAGUUUUGCGAUUUUUGCUCGCGGAAGCACAAAAAAUGAUAAUUUUAUGUUUCGAGGCUCUAAUUUUGCAUGUUUUGGGGCUCUAGAAAUUGAAUGGAAACCCACAGGACAGCCAUUCUUGCAUUAAAUUGGCUCUAGAAAUUGAACAAGACCUUACAGGAGAGUCAUUCUUACAUCAAACUGUAAGUAUUUUAAUUCUUUAUUAUAUUCAUAACUUAGUUUUGUAAUUUUCGCAUGCGGAAGCCAUAAAAAUUGAAUUUUUGUGUUUUGAGGCACUGAUUUUGGUUUGUUUUGAGGCUGUAGAAAUUAAAAGGGACCUCAUAGGGGUGCCAUUUAUAUUUUAAAGCUUUAAUAUUGCAAUUUUUCAUUGUAUUAAUGACUUAGUUUUGUGCUUUACAUGCACCGAAAGUAUAAAUGAGGUAUUUUUCUAAUUUAAGUAAUUAAAUUUGAUAGGGUUUGAGCGUGCAUGUGAUAAGUAACAGCGACACAUCAAAAUGAGGCAAUUAAAAUCUUUUCCACUCUAAUUCCAAUUUUGUUUAAUUUUUAAAUAAAAUGAUAUUUGAAUUUAAAUGUUAAUAGCUGUAUUAUAGCUUCCUGUAACUUAAAUAGCGAUAGUCAGUGCACCCGAAACUAGAGGGCGCUAGUGUACGCAACUUUUGCUAUUCAUGUUAAUUGGUUUGAACUUCCACACCUAGAUGGCGCUCGUGUCGCCGUAAUUUGCUGUUGCUAUCAAUUCGUUCACCUGUUUAGUCUGGUUUGCGCCGCGGAGCAGUUCGCGUGUUUACUUCAACUCCUCGACGGUUAAAUUUAUUUCAUUGUUUUUAUGUGUUUUGAGAACUUUCAUUUAACGCAUGCAUAAGCGAAAAUGGUAUAUUCAUCUGAGUUCCUACGGCAACCGGCACCUGGAUAUUUUCUUCCAACGUUUUCUUUGCUGUGAACACGAUGCGCUGCGAUGUCUGGUACACGCGUUUUUAAUCAUUUGUUUUGCUUCAUCCGAUCUUCCGCAUGGCAUGGCAUUUUUCAUCGCGAAACCACCAAUUGCCAUUUUAAUUCCUGAGGGCGCAUCAGUCGUGGAAAUAACUAAUUCAGAAGUUUGCUAAGUGAAAUGUAAUAGAACUAGUAUUAGCAUGAACUGGAUUUUAACCAACAACUUUAAACAUUUGCGUUCAGGUUAGUAUUUGUGUCAUUUGAUUUUUUUGGUCAGUAGAACACCUUUUAAUAUUAUGUCAUAUUGAACUUUUUAUAAUUUUACAGUUACAUUUUUUUAUUCUAAUAAAUGAGUUCCAACCGGAAAACAAAA